CAAGUCGAACGGAGUACUCCGGUACUUAGUGGCGGACGGGUGAGUAACGCGUGAGAAUCUGCCUUCAGGAGGGGGACAACGGCUGGAAACGGGUGCUAAUACCGCAUAUGUCGAGAGACGAAAGAUUUAUCGCCUGAAGAUGAGCUCGCGUCCGAUUAGCUAGUUGGUGAGGUAAGAGCUUACCAAGGCAAUGAUCGGUAGCUGGUUUGAGAGGACAACCAGCCACUCUGGGACUGAGACACGGCCCACACUCCUACGGGAGGCAGCAGUGGGGAAUUUUCCGCAGUGGGCGCAAGCCUGACAGAGCAAUACCGCGUGGGGGAUGAAGGUUUGUGGAUUGCACCCCCCUUUUCUCUAGGAAGAAAUUUGACGGUACUAGAGGAACAACCAUCGCCUAACUCCGUGCCACCGCCCGCGGUAAGAGGGAGGAUGCAAGCGUAAUCCGGAAUUAUUGGGCGUAACGGGUCCGCCAGGUGGCUUAUCGUCUCUGCUUUUAAAGAGUGGAGCUCAACUCCAUAGAGGGAGUGG
rnacentral:rRNA from 1 species